GAUGAACGCUGGCGGCGUGCCUAAUACAUGCAAGUCGAGCGAACAGACGAGGAUCUUGCUCCUCUGACGUUAGCGGCGGACGGGUGAGUAACACGUGGAUAACCUACCUAUAAGACUGGGAUAACUUCGGGAAACCGGAGCUAAUACCGGUUAAGAUAUUGAACCGCAUGGUUCAAUAGUGAAAGACGGUUUUGCUGUCACUUAUAGAUGUAUCCGGGCCGCAUUAGCUAGUUGGUAGGGUAACGGCUUACCAAGGCAACGAUGCGUAGCCGACCUGAGAGGGUGAUCAGCCACACUGGAACUGAGACACGGUCCAGACUCCUACGGGAGGCAGCAGUGGGGAAUAUUGCACAAUGGGCGAAAGCCUGACGGAGCCACGCCGCGUGAGUGAUGAAGGUCUUCGGAUCGUAAAGCUCUGUUAGUAGGGAAGAACAACUGUAUAUGUAACUCUGCACGUCUUGACGUUACCUACACAGAAAGCAACGGCUAACUACGUG
rnacentral:rRNA from 1 species